rnacentral:rRNA from 1 species
CGCUCUUUGAAACACAAAAAUAAAGAGUCGUGCCUGCCCAGUGAUAACUUUAAACGGCCGCAGUACCCUGACUGUGCUAAGGUAGCAUAAUCACUUGCUCUUUAAUUGAGAGCUAGAAUGAAUGGCUUGACGAAAACAUUACUGUCUCUUUUAUAUUAACUAAAAAUUAAUCUUUAGAUGAAAAAGUCUAAAUAACUUCAAAAGACGAAAAGACCCUAUCGAGCUUAAAAACAAUUUUAAUUCUAACCUACUAGAUAAAACAAAAUUAAAACAUAAUUUUUUGUUGGGGCGACAGAAGAACAUACAAAGCUUCUUUUAAUUUAAUAAACUAAUAAGUUUAAAAGAUCCAUUAAUAUUGACUAAAAGAAAAGUUACCGUAGGGAUAACAGCGUAAUUUCUUUAGAGAGCUCAAAUUGAAAAAGAAGUUUGCGACCUCGAUGUUGGAUUAAAAAAUCUUUUUGAUGCAGCAGUCAAAAAAGAAGGCCUGUUCGACCUUUAAAAUUUU